AUUGAACGCUGGCGGCAGGCCUAACACAUGCAAGUCGAACGAGCGGCGGACGGGUGAGUAAUGUAUGGGAAACUGCCCGAUGGAGGGGGCUAACUACUGGAAACGGUAGCUAAUACCGCAUACCAUCGGAUGUGCCCAGAUGGGAUUAGCUAGUAGGUGGGGUAAAGGCUCACCUAGGCGACGAUCCCUAGCUGGUCUGAGAGGAUGAUCAGCCACACUGGAACUGAGACACGGUCCAGACUCCUACGGGAGGCAGCAGUGGGGAAUAUUGCACAAUGGGCGCAAGCCUGAUGCAGCCAUGCCGCGUGUAUGAAGAAGGCCUUAGGGUUGUAAAGUACUUUCAGCGGGGAGGCGUUACCCGCAGAAGAAGCACCGGCUAACUCCGUGCCAGCAGCCGCGGUAAUUC
rnacentral:rRNA from 1 species